ACGGCUCACCAAGGCGAUGAUGGGUAGCUGGCCUGAGAGGGUGGUCAGCCACACUGGGACUGAGAUACGGCCCAGACUCCUAAGGGAGGCAGCAGUUGAGAGGCAUCCGCAAUGGGCGAAAGCCCGACGGUGCGACGCCGCGUGGACGAUGAAGGCCUUCGGGUUGUAAAGUCCUGUCACAGGGGGGAGAACAACCCUCAUCUUAAUAGGAUGGGGGUCUGACGUUGCCCCUGGAGAAAGACCCGGCUAACUCCGUGCCAGCAGCCGCGGUAAUACGGAGGGGUCGAGCGUUAUUCGGAUUCACUGGGCGUAAAGGGAGCGUAGGCGGGAUCGUGUGUCUGCCGUGAAAUCCACCGGCUCAACCGGUGAACUGCGGUAGAAACUACGAUUCUUGAGUUCGGUAGAGGAAUGCGGAAUUCCUGGUGUAGCGGUGGAAUGCGUAGAUAUCAGGAAGAACACCGGUAGCGAAGGCGGCAUUCUGGGCCGUAUCUGACGCUGAGGCUCGAAAGCCGGGGGAGCGAACAGGAUUAGAUACCCCUGGUAGUCCCGGCCGUAAACGAUGGGUACUAGGUGUAGGGGGUACUGACCCCCUCUGUGCCGCAGUUAACGCAUUAAGUACCCCGCCUGGGGAGUACGCGCGCAAGCGUGAAACUCAAAGGAAUUGACGGGGCCCCGCACAAGCGGUGGAGCAUGUGGAUCAAUUCGACGCAACGCGAAGAACCUUACCGGGGUUUGACAUGUACCGGACCGUCAUGGAAACAUGGCUUCUCUUCGGAGUCGGUACACAGGUGCUGCAUGGCUGUCGUCAGCUCGUGUCGUGAGAUGUUGGGUUAAGUCCCGCAACGAGCGCAACCCUCGUCGCCUGUUGCCAUCAGGUUAAGCUGGGCACUCUGGCGAGACUGCCCGCGAUAUGCGGGAGGAAGGCGGGGAUGACGUCAAGUCCUCAUGGUCUUUACAUCCCGGGCUUCACACGUGCUACAAUGGCCGGUACAAAGGGUUGCAAUACCGCGAGGUGGAGCCAAUCCCAAAAAGCCGGUCUCAGUUCGGAUUGGAGUCUGCAACUCGACUCCAUGAAGUCGGAAUCGCUAGUAAUCGUGGAUCAGCAUGCCACGGUGAAUACGUUCCCGGGGCUUGUACACACCGCCCGUCAAGCCACGAAAGCUGGUAGUACCCGAAGUCGCUAAGCCGACCCGCAAGGGAAGCAGGCGCCGAAGGUAAGACCAGCGAUUG
rnacentral:rRNA from 1 species